rnacentral:rRNA from 1 species
AGUGAACGCUGGCGACAGGCCUAACACAUGCAAGUCGAGGGGCAGCACAUGAGUAGCAAUACGAUGGUGGCGACCGGCGCACGGGUGAGUAUCGCGUAUGCAACCUACCUUCCACAGGGGGAUAGCCUUCCGAAAGGGAGAUUAAUACCGCAUAAAACAGGGGCCCCGCAUGGGGAUAUUUGUUAAAGAUUUAUCGGUGGGAGAUGGGCAUGCGUUCCAUUAGCUAGUUGGCGGGGUAAUGGCCCACCAAGGCAUCGAUGGAUAGGGGAACUGAGAGGUUUAUCCCCCACACUGGAACUGAGACACGGUCCAGACUCCUACGGGAGGCAGCAGUGAGGAAUAUUGGUCAAUGGGCGGGAGCCUGAACCAGCCAAGUCGCGUGAAGGAAGACGGUUCUAUGGAUUGUAAACUUCUUUUGCACUGGGGUAAAACGGGGGACGUGUCCCCCCUUGCAAGUACAGUGCGAAUAAGCAUCGGCUAACUCCGUGCCAGCCGCCGCUGUAA